rnacentral:misc_RNA from 1 species
UGAUCCCACCGGCUUUAAAAUCCUACCCUCCCGCUCCCAAGAUCACUCUCACUCUCACGCACACACUCCACAGUGCCACUCGUCUCGCUCGCGCAGCAGACAGCAUGGGUUCGUCGGCGGCGCUUCAGCCGAAGCAGCUGUACCAGCUCGUGGUGAACAACUUCGUCGCCGUGCUCGCUGCGCCGCUGGCCGUGGCGGCCGUCGUCAAUGCGGCGCGCGUCGGGCCGGACGAGCUGCUCGGCAGGCUGCAGGCGCUCCGGGCGGUGCACGUAUUUCUCGCCGUGUUUGUCGCGGCCGCCACGGCGAUACUGUACGUCCUGCUGCGGCCCCGGGCCGUGUACCUGGUGGACUACGCCUGCUUCCGCACGCGGCCCAACUGCCGCGUCCCCUUCGCCACCUUCCUGGAGCACGCGAAGCUGGUGACGUUCGUGGAGGGGGCCUCCAUCGACGAGCGCAGCGUCCGGUUCAUGACGCGGCUGCUGGAGCGGUCCGGCCUCGGCGAGGAGACCUGCCUGCCCCCGGCCCACCACUACAUCCCGCCGUACCGGAACAUGGAGGCCUCGCGCGCGGAGGUGGAGCUCGUCAUCUUCUCGGCCAUCGACGACCUGCUCGCGAAGACGGGCAUCAGCCCCAGCGCCAUCGACAUCCUGGUGGUGAACUGCAGCCUCUUCGCGCCCGUCCCGUCCUUCACGGACAUGGUGAUCAACAGGUACGGGAUGCGGCCGGACGUCCGCAAUGUGCACCUGUCCGGGAUGGGGUGCAGCGCCGGGCUCAUCUCCGUGGGGCUGGCGCGCAACCUGCUGCAGGUGGCGGGCCGGGGCGCGCACGCGCUGGUGGUGUCGACGGAGACCAUCACCCCAAACUACUACGUGGGCAAGGAGCGCGCCAUGCUCCUGCCCAACUGCCUCUUCCGCAUCGGCGGCGCCGCCGUGCUGCUGUCCACGUCCCGGUCCAGGGCCCGGUUCCGCCUGGCCCGCGUGGUGCGCACGCUGACGGGCGCCCAGGACAGCGCGUACCGGUGCGUGUUCCAGGAGGAGGACGGCGAGGGCCACCGCGGGAUCAACCUGUCCAAGGACCUGAUGACCAUCGCGGGCGACGCGCUCAAGGCCAACAUCACCGCCAUCGGGCCGCUGGUGCUGCCGGCCUCGGAGCAGCUCCUGUUCGCGCUGUCCUUCAUCGCGCGGCGCGUGCUGAACCGGCGCGUGAAGCCGUACCUCCCGGACUUCCGCACGGCGUUCGAGCACUUCUGCAUCCACGCGGGGGGCCGCGCGGUGAUCGACGAGCUGCAGCGCAGCCUGGGCCUGUCGGACGAGGACGUGGAGGCGUCGCGCAUGGCGCUGCACCGGUUCGGCAACACGUCGAGCAGCUCGGUGUGGUACGAGCUGGCGUACAUCGAGGCCAAGGGCCGGAUGCGCCGCGGCGACCGCGUGUGGAUGAUCGGAUUCGGCUCCGGGUUCAAGUGCAACAGCGCGGCCUGGGAGUGCAUCGCGCCGGCGCGCACCGCCGAGGGGCCCUGGGCGGAGAGCGUCAGCCGCUACCCCGUGGACAUCCCCGAGGUGCUCAAGCACUAGCCGCUAUCCCGUGGACAUCAGGCCGGGCAUGCAUGUGAGUAUGUGACCGACGACGUGACAGCGUGUUUUGGACUUGCUUGUGGUGCUGGCCGGGCCGGACGCGUUGAAUGCCGAGCCUGACGCGUCCAUGUGUGCGGUGCGCUCCAGCCCGGACAGGUGGUUGCGAGAGGGUACACCGUGUUAAAUCCGGGCCAUUUACACACGUAUAGUACUCGUGCUCCUCUAGAUCGUGUACCCCUUCCUUCUCUUCUUGUUCUUCUUCUUUUUACCUUCCUUUUCAACAUUUGUUUUCCCACUAAUAAUUUACUUGUGUCCAUUUUAAAAACAAGCCAAAAUGUACCGCGAGUUGGAUCGAUUACAUUACAUAUGUUACUAUAGCAAGCAUUAUUGUACUCUACCUGAAUAAUUUAUGAAGUGAAGUUACUACAGCCACAGGCAGAGAUGGAUGGAUGGGC